CCAUGGUUUGGAAUGGAGAGGCUG
rnacentral:piRNA from 1 species